rnacentral:rRNA from 1 species
GACGAACGCUGGCGGCGUGCCUAAUACAUGCAAGUCGAACGCAGUGGGGACGGGUGAGUAACACGUGGGUAACCUCCCAUCAGAGGGGAUAACACUUGGAAACAGGUGCUAAACCGAUAUUGAUGGAUGGACCCGCGGUGCAUUAGCUAGUUGGUGAGGUAACGGCUCACCAAGGCCACGAUGCAUAGCCCGCCUUGGGGGGGGGUUGGCCAAACCGGGACUGAGACAAGGGCCAGACUCCUAAGGGGGGCCAGAGUAGGGAAUUUUUGGCAAAUGGCGAAAGGCUUGCCGGGGCAACGCGCGGGAGGUGAAGAGGGUUUCGGAUCCGAAAACCUUGGUGGUAGGGAAACGGUAUCUAACCAGAAAGCCACGGCUAACUACGGGCCAGCAGCCGCGGUAAUUC